rnacentral:lncRNA from 1 species
UCUCUCUCUCUCUGGGCCGAGCUGGGGGAUCCGAUGACGUCACGCACCAAACACUGUCACUCACUCCCUCUCUCUCUACCUCUGUCUUUCGCUUUCCCCUCUCCCUCUCUCAGAUGUUCUAUUCUGGGAAGUUGUGCCAGGAAUAAUAGCUUCGGCGUCUUCCUCACAAACUGAAAAAUCGUGUCGAGGAGGAUGUUUUACUCACAAGCUGUCUUCAUUUAGUAGCAGCAUAAGGCUUUAGAAUAGUCAUACGGAAGUCGAUCUUUUUUUGGUGCUAAUUCUUGUUUAAUUUUUCACUCUUGAGUCUUGGACGCUUUUAUCCGACAAUUAGCGAAGUGUCAAGAGCGUUGUCAUAGGUUGUCAUUUAUUUGGGAUUUUACCGGACGUGGGUUUUUGCACGGCACCUGAAGUGUGACACGGCUGUGCCGAUGCCCUGGAGGAGUGUGAACGCUGUGUGACGUCCUCGCAAGUCGCUCUCCUUGGCUGCACAACAGGAAACACUUGUGGCCUCCCUCCUUCCUGCGCUCAGAAAGAGGUAGUCUCUUUCUUUCUUCCUCUCCCCCUCUUUCUUUCUUUUCUAUGGCUUUCUGUAGUGGUAGAACCAGCUGAGACCUACUUUUAUGUCCGCACUCUGCCAGCAGCCACUGCUGGAGUGUUGCUGGCUCCAUUGAUGCCUCCUCCGCUCCCAUCCAGCCAAUCAGACCACAGCUGUUUAUGCUGAAGAAAUGUGAUCGUUCUUUGCUCCAGCCUCUGAGCAGCGAGCAGCGCUAGAAGCAGAGCAAGAGAGAGCGAGAGAGAGAGAGAGAGAGCGCGCAGGCGGGCUAGAGAAAGAGGGAGGGCUGCAGACAGUAGAAGGGAAUAAGCUCCUCUUAGAGCCGUUUGAGUGGCGCUCGUAGAGGCUUGUGAGACUCGGGUUCGGUGAGGCUGUGAUUUGUACCCCCCACCCCUCUCCCCCGAGGCUCCCCAGCACUGGAGGGAUGCAGAGGACACCGUGUCAGGUGGGCUGCUGGGGGGGGGGCUUGGCAAUUGAAUACCGCUGAAUAAUGUCGGGAGAGACAUAGAGAUGAAGGGAGCGAGUUAAAGAGAGAUAUAGGGAGUGGGCGAUGCAGAGAGAGAGAGCUCUUGUCAGAGUGUCUCGGUGCUGCUCUUGUCACCUGCCUCAUCAGUGUAGGUGGGUGAGGUGACAUCAGAGGACAGAGAGGGUCUCUCACGCAUGGUGGUUGAGGCUCCACCACGCCACCCAAAGGAUGAAGAGGAGCGUGGCAGACUGACAGGCACAGAUACCCAGAGGAACAAUGUAUUCACUUUGGGCAGAAUAUACAUGACUACCAAUACCUUUUAGUUGUAAUUUUAUUUAACACUUUCACAGUGUUUGUCUAUGUGUCGUCUUUGUGCAUGGUCAUGCACGUUUAGCCACUAGUCUGUAUAUUCCUGACAGCUUCGUA